CAAAAACAAGAAAGAGUUGUGUUGCAACAACAAAGGCAUGUCCUGAUUUACUAAACAGAACGGGGUGCAACCCCAUACCUUGAUCUUCAUUAUUUGCUCCUCUCCUUCCGAUGGUUUUAUUGUCGUAUCAGCUACACACGACUUGUCGCACGACGCUGUGUCGUGGGAAACAAAGCCACGGUCUCCUUUAAGCUAUGUUCCAGUAUCUUGCACUGAUGAAGUAUAAGAAGAUUGAAACAGGCUGUCUGCAAGCUUUGUAUAUAUGGCUGUGAACUAUUGGGCUGUAUCUGUGCUAUUAAGGGGUUCCGGAUACAUAGUUGGCCACAGGAACAUUAAGUCUAUAAUGCCAUAAGUGAAGGUCAAAGCAUUUCAUAUUUGGUUUUUAAGGCAGUGCUAGGUAUGUAACAUGAGGCAUGUGAAUAUCUUCUGUUUUAAAAAGGCUCUCAGUGCAUAUUCAGACCUUGUCAGCUAAAAUGAAAUGGUACUGUAUAUACUGAUACAUAUCGUUUUAAAAAAUGUUAAGUAUGGUGUAAGCUGUAAGAAUCAAGAGAACAUAUACAUUCUAUGUCUAUUUUUAUAUGCAUGUAAUUUGUAUGCACCUCUCUUUUCUACAGAUGCUUGUGCCUUUUGCUUUGUUUGUCUAAAGGGGAACUAGAGUCACAGCGCUCAUAUUUGUUACAGGGCAUAAGGCUUUUGUACAGCAGAUAAGUACAGCUAAAUAUAUAGCUGCUAUUCUCCCUUAGCUUUAUGUUACACUUCCCUUUUCAAUCAUUUGAUUUUCAUUCAAGUAAAUGUGAUUCCCACUGCCAAAUUUAAUGGAAUUGAUGUUUAGGCAACAUAGAAUCAAAUACCCUCUCUUCUUUGUUUUGUUACAUAAAUGGUUCAUGUACGAGUAUGGACAGCACUGAUGAAUAAGUAAUACUAAAUUACUGCUUGUUUGUGCUGUUGAGGCCUGGAGAAAAAAUGAAGAUACAGGGAGGAGCUCUGUUGAUCUCAGUAUUUCUCUUUGUGUGGGCAAAGACAUUGCAAGCUGGGUGAUGACUGUAAUUGAUGUCAGCAGCAAGUAACAUAAUUUGCUACCUUUAGUUUGUAAUGAAAGAAAAGGAAUAAAGGAUGAGGUAUAUACAAAGCUGGAUGCUGUCCACAACGAGAUCCUAGAUGACCUAUAUUUCCAGAUUUAGUUUUACUCCUCAAUUAAUCAACUGCUAUCAAAAAUAAUAAUUUGCUAAUUUAUUUGUCAUUUAAUUCUUCUUUUAAAUUGUUUAAACAUUAGCCUUCAUGGUCUCUGUGAGUAUUACUCUUUUAAAUAUGAAUAUUUUGUUCGUGUUUCCACUGCAUAUAGGGAUGCUUCUAUUUCAGAAUGUUUGGAUUUGGCUAGCUGAACUGAAUCCGAACCCUAAUUUGCAUAGUGAAUUCUGUGCAAAAUAGCUCCAAGGUGUUCUCCAGAAUCAGGAAUAGUAACUUCAAAAGCCUAUGCAUAGAUGGUCUAGCUUAGUAGUUAAAUCACUGGUGUUGGAUUUAGAAAGGUGUGGAUUUAAUUCCUGUGUCAAUACCUUGUGGCACUUAAUUUUCCUGUGCCUCAGGCAGCAAACAUAUAACAAUAGAUUUACAGGGCAGGGGCUUAUUUUGCCUAAAAUAUUCUUUGUAAAACACUGAAUGUAAUUACUACCCUCCACUGAUGUAUUAAUGAAAAUAUGCAGGUAAUUAUUGUUCUGUACUAAAUUAUGUCCUUACUGCUGGAUUAUAAACUGGGCGCGGUUUCCCUUUUACAAGGAAAAUAUAAAACCUUUGUAUAAUUCUUCAAAAUGAUUCAUUAUUUUAUAUUGCUGUUUAUAAAUUUGGUGUAGUUUCUAUUUAAUUAAAGAAUAUAAUUGCUCCUUUUA